UCCCUAAAACCAAAGUAAUUCCCUGGUGAAAAUUUAAAAUGAAAAUCGUCUCUCUAAUUUUUCCUCCAAAACCAAAUAAUCCCUUGGUCAAAAAUUCUGAAAAUCGUCUCUCUCGCGCUCUUAUAACCGCUGCCGCCGAACUAGUCUGUUAUGCUGGGAUCGGCGGUCAUUCUCGUAUGUUGCGGCGCUUGCUGGCUCUAAUUUCCAGCCAUUUUUACCUAUUGCCAGCCGCUAAGGUUUUUACAGAACUCAACUAGGGUUUCAGUUCUCAACAAUUCUUCGUUUGGUAGGGAAAGUUUAUAAUAGAUAUUCUAAAGGCAUGACAUGAGACACAGGCGGUGGGCAACAAUUAUGGAGAUCUUUUAAAUAACUCAAAUGGCGACCAACAAGUUACCAAAGCGAACUAUCAAGGUCUUGUUCUCUAUUUU